UACGUAGGGUGCAGGCGUUAUUCGGAAUUACUGGGCGUAAAGCGUGCGCAGGCGGUUUGCUAAGAGCGAUGUGAAAUCCCCGGGCUUAACCUGGGAAUUGCGUUUCUAACUGGCAGGCUUGAGUGUGGCAGAGGGGGGUGGAAUUCCACGUGUAGCAGUGAAAUGCGUAGAGAUGUGGAGGAACACCGAUGGCGAAGGCAGGUCUCUGGGCAUUAACUGACGCUGAGGAGCGAAAGCAUGGGGAGCGAACAGG
rnacentral:rRNA from 1 species